rnacentral:lncRNA from 1 species
GCUGGUGGCCAGGCCAGGAAGCAAGCAAAGAUGGGGUCGCCGUGCUCCAAACUGUCAUCAGUCUCCAGGCGCUCGAGCUUGCCAGACUUCAGGUGAAAUGAAUAGCUGCCUUAUCCCCAUGUCUUGAUGAACACCUUCCCGCUGCGCCCAGCAUCGAUGUCGCUGAGCCAAGUGCACAGGUGCCGGUUCACCAGGUCCCUGGGCAGCCCUGGCACACUGUCGAGCACCUUGAGCAGGCGAAACUCCUCCACCAACCAUCCAUUGUCGCUCCAUUUGGUCUCCCCACGCACCCAUAGUUGCAGCCGCUGCUCCAGUACCACCGCGAUGCACAGCCUCCCGUCCUCUGGCAACUCGCCAAUGCGGUACUUGCGAAAGGAGUCCCCAAGCUCAGCCGGCGCCAGCAGGAAGGAGAAAUCCAGCGUACCAGGGUUCAGUGCAAGCAUGCG